rnacentral:rRNA from 1 species
UACGGAGGGGGCUAGCGUUGCUCGGAAUUACUGGGCGUAAAGCGCACGUAGGCGGUUUCUUAAGUCGGGGGUGAAAUCCUGGAGCUCAACUCCAGAACUGCCUUCGAUACUGGGAAACUUGAGUCCGGGAGAGGUGAGUGGAACUGCGAGUGUAGAGGUGAAAUUCGUAGAUAUUCGCAAGAACACCAGUGGCGAAGGCGGCUCACUGGCCCGGUACUGACGCUGAGGUGCGAAAGCGUGGGGAGCAAACAGG